UGCUGGGGACCAACAAUGAUGAUGCACCGGUGUUUUACGAUCUAGCCACAGAGGGCGACGGUGAGAAGAAGGGCAAAGAAAUAAGUGGAAAGGUUAUUGUUUAAUUUUGCUUCGUAAACUUUUUAAUGUGUCAUUUGGUUAGACCAUGUUGCGCCUGAUUCAUUAUAAAGUUGAACUGGAGGAUGCCGGUGUAGUGUUAGCUUCUUUGUCUAGAUUGUAAAACACCGAUGCAUCAUCAUUACUGGUCCCCAGCA